UACGUAGGGUGCAAGCGUUGUCCGGAAUUAUUGGGCGUAAAGAGCUCGUAGGCGGUUUGUUGCGUCGGCUGUGAAAUCCCGAGGCUCAACCUCGGGUCUGCAGUCGAUACGAGCAAACUAGAGUGUUGCAGGGGAGACUGGAAUUCCUGGUGUAGCGGUGAAAUGCGCAGAUAUCAGGAGGAACACCGGUGGCGAAGGCGGGUCUCUGGGCCGUAACUGACGCUGGAGGAGCGAAAGCCGUGGGGAGCGAAC
rnacentral:rRNA from 1 species